ACAAGAUGCACUGUGCAGGAAUUUCCAGUAAUAAAUAUAUAAAUAUACAAUGUUAAUAAGUGUGGGUUUUUGUUUGUUUGUUUUUGUUUUUUUUGUUUUUUUUUUUUGAGGGAAUGUAAGUUUGUUUUACUUGAAAAAUAUCUACAUGAGUCUGACUUCUCUGGUGGUAGCUGCUAGCUGAAAGGAAAGCUUUGUUGUGAUCAAUUGCUGCAUGCCAGAUGUCAACUGCCAAAGCAACACAUUGAAGUCAUCUGUGAUGAACAGUUCACCUGUCACAGGAUCUGUGCCAGUGUUGCAAUCAAACUGCUUCUGAAGAAACUCCUUAUACCUGGACUUGCUGGAGGCGAUGGACGAUUGCUUGGAGAUUCAAGGAGACUAACUUCUUCUACAGCCCAUCCUCUGCUCCAGAAAGAGAAUGGGUGAAGUUGAAGAAGGAAGUUGACUCUAUCUGUGAAGAUCUGCUGUGUAAUGGAAAUUAUCAGGCUGGUUCUGAGUGUACAGAACCGAAAAGGACAUGGGCUUAUUUCAUGUCUCUCCAUAAGUGGACAGGAAGAGAAUAAAGCCAGACAGAUGAUGGGAAAAAAGACAUGCAGGUGUUUGCCGCUAUGCAAAGCAUCAGGACAAAAUCUUCCAAUGUGGAAAAGAGGUAGAGCCUCAAAACAAGGCAACAGUUCAGGAACAAGCCUGGGUUCCAUUAAGCCAAGGCAAAGCCAAAGUAAGGUCAAUGUCAGGGUUACGAUAGAGGCAUAG
rnacentral:lncRNA from 1 species